rnacentral:rRNA from 1 species
GGGCGUGUGUGCUGGUAUGAGUCUUCCAUCCUUCUAGAGAGCCACGCCUGCUGUUCACUCAGCUGGGCGUGUGCGAUCUAGAUCAUUUACUUUGAAAAAAUUAGAGUGUUUAAAGCAGGCUUAUGCCCGAAUACAUUAGCAUGGAAUAAUAAAAUAGGACUUCGGUUCUAUUUUGUUGGUUUCUAGAACUGAAGUAAUGAUUGAUAGGGAUAGUUGGGGGUGCUAGUAUUCAGUGGCCAGAGGUGAAAUUCUUGGAUUCACUGAAGACUAACUACUGCGAAAGCAUUCACCAAGGAUGUCUUCUUUAAUCAAGAACGAAAGUUGGGGGAUCGAAGACGAUCAGAUACCGUCGUAGUCUCAACCAUAAACUAUACCGACUAAGGAUCAGUGGACGUCUUAUUUCGACUCCAUUGGCACUUUAUGAGAAAUCAAAGUCUUUGGGUUCCGGGGGGAGUAUGGUCGCAAGGCUGAAACUUAAAGGAAUUGACGGAAGGGCACCACCAGGAGUGGAGCCUGCGGCUUAAUUUGACUCAACACGGGAAAACUCACCAGGUCCAGACAUAGUGAGGAUUGACAGAUUGAAGAUCUUUCUUGAUUCUAUGGGUGGUGGUGCAUGGGCCGUUCUUAGUUGGUGGAGUGAUUUGUCUGGGUUAAUUCCGUUAACGAACGAGACCUCGACCUACUAAAUAGUUGGUCGAAGCCUUUGGCUUGCGCUUACUUCUUAGAGGGACUAUCGG